AGUAAAAAAUUUCAUCAAAUUCUAUUGUUAAAAAUUGGCAUUGUUGACAGAAUAACCAAAUAAUUUCGCGUGGCGUGCCAUGUGUACCUCAUUCUAAUAUACAUGGUCCAAUUUUUAACAAUGAAAAUGGAUAAAAAUUUUAACU
rfam:Gossypium raimondii Chr08_contig_804, whole genome shotgun sequence.